rnacentral:rRNA from 1 species
UACGUAGGGUGCGAGCGUUAAUCGGAAUUAUUGGGCGUAAAGAGCUCGUAGGCGGUUCGUCGCGUCGGCUGUGAAAUCCCGAGGCUCAACCUCGGGUCUGCAGUCGAUACGGGCGGACUGGAGUUCGGCAGGGGAGACUGGAAUUCCUGGUGUAGCGGUGAAAUGCGCAGAUAUCAGGAGGAACACCGGUGGCGAAGGCGGGUGUCUGGGCCGAUACUGACGCUGAGGAGCGAAAGCGUGGGGAGCGAACAGG